rnacentral:rRNA from 1 species
AGUGAACGCUGGCGGUAGGCCUAACACAUGCAAGUCGAACGGCAGCACAGUAAGAGCUUGCUCUUACGGGUGGCGAGUGGCGGACGGGUGAGGAAUACAUCGGCAUCUACUUUUUCGUGGGGGAUAACGUAGGGAAACUUACGCUAAUACCGCAUACGACCUACGGGUGAAAGCAGGGGAUCUUCGGACCUUGCGCGAUUGAAUGAGCCGAUGUCGGAUUAGCUAGUUGGCGGGGUAAAGGCCCACCAAGGCGACGAUCCGUAGCUGGUCUGAGAGGAUGAUCAGCCACACUGGAACUGAGACACGGUCCAGACUCCUACGGGAGGCAGCAGUGGGGAAUAUUGGACAAUGGGCGCAAGCCUGACGGAGCAAUACCGCGUGGGUGAAGAAGGCCUUCGGGUUGUAAAGCCCUUUUGUUGGGAAAGAAAAGAAGCAGGUGAAUACCCCGCUGUUCUGACGGUACCUAAAGAAUAAGCACCGGCUAACUUCGUG